GGAUGUGAGGGCGAUCUGGCUUUGGCAGGUCACCCCAUUUAUCACCAGGGUUAGUUCAGCUGAUCUGGCUGGCUAGGUGGGUGUCCCCUUCCUCCCUCACCUCUCCAUGUGUGUGCUGGUUCGAACAGGACACCACCCCUGAUAGAGGCGGCCAGUUUCUUUUUCCUUGGUCAAGGGCAUAUAAGUAGCUGUGCUCCCCUACUACAACCUCCAAACAAGCUCAAGGAAACUGAGGCAGGAAGAUUGCCACGAAUUGAGACCCUGUCUCAAAAA
ensembl:misc_RNA 7SK 7SK RNA